rnacentral:rRNA from 1 species
AUUGAACGCUGGCGGCAUGCCUUACACAUGCAAGUCGAACGGCAGCACGGGUGCUUGCACCUGGUGGCGAGUGGCGAACGGGUGAGUAAUACAUCGGAACAUGUCCUGUAGUGGGGGAUAGCCCGGCGAAAGCCGGAUUAAUACCGCAUACGAUCUACGGAUGAAAGCGGGGGACCUUCGGACCUCGCGCUAUAGGGUUGGCCGAUGGCUGAUUAGCUAGUUGGUGGGGUAAAGGCCUACCAAGGCGACGAUCAGUAGCUGGUCUGAGAGGACGACCAGCCACACUGGGACUGAGACACGGCCCAGACUCCUACGGGAGGCAGCAGUGGGGAAUUUUGGACAAUGGGCGAAAGCCUGAUCCAGCAAUGCCGCGUGUGUGAAGAAGGCCUUCGGGUUGUAAAGCACUUUUGUCCGGAAAGAAAUCCUUGGCUCUAAUACAGUCGGAGGAUGACGGUACCGGAAGAAUAAGCACCGGCUAACUACGUG